rnacentral:rRNA from 1 species
CGGACAGAUGAGUAACACGUGGGUAACCUGCCUGUAAGACUGGGAUAACUCCGGGAAACCGGGGCUAAUACCGGAUGGUUGUUUGAACCGCAUGGUUCAAACAUAAAAGGUGGCUUCGGCUACCACUUACAGAUGGACCCGCGGCGCAUUAGCUAGUUGGUGAGGUAACGGCUCACCAAGGCAACGAUGCGUAGCCGACCUGAGAGGGUGAUCGGCCACACUGGGACUGAGACACGGCCCACACUCCUACGGGAGGCAGCAGUAGGGAAUCUUCCGCAAUGGACGAAAGUCUGACGGAGCAACGCCGCGUGAGUGAUGAAGGUUUUCAGAUCGUAAAGCUCUGUUGUUAGGGAAGAACAAGUACCGUUCGAAUAGGGCGGUACCUUGACGGUACCUAACCAGAAAGCCACGGCUAACUACGUGCCAGCAGCCGCGGUAAUACGUAGGUGGCAAGCGUUGUCCGGAAUUAUUGGGCGUAAAGGGCUCGCACGCGGUUUCUUAGUUCUGAUGUGAAAGCCCCCGGCUCAACCGGGGAGGGUCAUUGGAAACUGGGGAACUUGAGUGCAGAAGAGGAGAGUGGAAUUCCCGUGUAGCGGUAAAUGCGUAAGAUGUGGAAGAACCCAGUGGCCAUGCGACUCUCUGGUCUGUACUGACGCUGAGAGCGAAACGUGGGAGCGAACAGGAUUGAUACCCUGGUAGUCCCCCCGUAACGAUAGUGCUAGUGUUAGGGGGUUUCCCCCCUAUUGCUGCCCUAACGCUUAAUUCUCGCCUGGGAGUAGGUCGCACACUGAUCUCAAAGAAUAACGGAGCCCCACAGCCGUG